GUGAGGUAACGGCUCACCAAGGCGACGACGGGUAGCCGGCCUGAGAAGGUGACCGGCCACACUGGGACUGAGACACGGCCCAGACUCCUACGGGAGGCAGCAGUGGGGAAUAUUGCACAAUGGGCGCAAGCCUGAUGCGGCGACGCCGCGUGAGGGAUGACGGCCUUCGGGUUGUAAACCUCUGUUAGCAGGGAAGAAGAGAGAUUGACGGUACCUGCAGAGAAAGCGCCGGCUAACUACGUGCCAGCAGCCGCGGUAAUACGUAGGGCGCGAGCGUUGUCCGGAAUUAUUGGGCGUAAAGAGCUUGUAGGCGGUUUGUCGCGUCUGCUGUGAAAGGCCGGAGCUUAACUCCGUGUAUUGCAGUGGGUACGGGCAGACUAGAGUGCAGUAGGGGAGACUGGAAUUCCUGGUGUAGCGGUGGAAUGCGCAGAUAUCAGGAGGAACACCGAUGGCGAAGGCAGGUCUCUGGGCUGUAACUGACGCUGAGAAGCGAAAGCAUGGGGAGCGAACAGGAUUAGAUACCCUGGUAGUCCAUGCCGUAAACGUUGGGCACUAGGUGUGGGGGACAUUCCACGUUUUCCGCGCCGUAGCUAACGCAUUAAGUG
rnacentral:rRNA from 1 species